CACCUGCUUUGGCUGCUCACCUACUCCCUUCUCCAUGUCUCUACCUUUCUCUUUAAACUUACCUCCAUUACUAUGGGCAACCUUCCACCCUCCAUUCCCCCAUCUUCUCCCUUAGCCUGUGUUCUCAAAAACUUAAAACCUCUUCAACUCUCGCCUGACCUAAAACCUAAGCGUCUUAUUUUCUUCUGCAACACCGCUUGGCCCCAAUACAAACUCAAUAAUGGUUCUAAAUAGCUAGAAAAUGACACUUUUGAUUUCUCCAUUUUACAAGACCUGGAUGAUUUUUGUUGAAAAAUGGGCAAAUGGGUCUGAUGUGCCUGACAUCCAGGCAUUGUUUCAUACACUGGUCCCUCCUUAGUCUCUGCUCCCAAUGCGACUCAUCCCAAAUCUUUCUUCUUUCUCUGCGGUCUGUUCCUUCAGUCUCCACCCCAAGCUCUGAGUCCUUUGAAUGCUCCUUUUCUACAGACCCAUCUAACCUCUCCCCUCCUACCCAGGCUGCUCCUCACCAGGCUGAGCCAGGUCCCAAUUCUUCCUCAGCCUCCGCUCCCCGAUCCUAUAAUCCUUUUAUCACCUCCCCUCCUCACACCCGGUCCAGUUUACAGUUACAUUCCUCCACUAGCCCUCCCCCACCUGCCCAACAAUUUCCUCUUAAAGAGGUGGCUGGAGCUGAAGGCAUAGCCAAGAUCUUCUUGACUUAGCAGCUGAAGACUGAUGCUGCCCGAUUGCCUUGGAAGCCCCCCUAGACCAUCACAGAUGCCGAGCUUCGGGAACUCUCACAGUGGAGGAAGACAGGAAUGUCAGGCCUCUGAGCCCAAGCUAAGCCAUCAUAUCCCCUGUGACCUGCACGUAUACAUCCAGAUGGCCUGAAGCAACUGAAGAUCCACAAAAGAAAUGAAAAUAGCCUUAACUGAUGACAUUCCACCAUUGUGAUUUGUUUCUGCCCCACCCUAACUGAUCAAUGUACUUUGUAAUCUCCCCAACCCUUAAGAAGGUUCUUUGUAAUCUCCCCCACAUCUUAAGAAGGUUCUUUGUAAUUCUCCCCACCCUUGAGAAUGCACUUUGUGAGAUCCACUCCCUGCCCACAAAACAUUGCUCCUAACUCCACCGCCUACCCCAAAACCUAUAAGAA
rnacentral:lncRNA from 1 species